UAAACUGUUUCUUUUUCUUACGAAGAUGGCGGAAGACCUUUGGCUUUGAGACUAGCUUCCUUGUUCGGUAAAGCACCAAGAGGCAAGAUACAUUCACUGACCGAUGAGGCCCGUGAUCACCAUGGUAACACCAAGGCAAAGGCUGGCAGAGUGGAUUCAGUGGCGUGGAUGUUUUGCAGUGGGUUGAGCCAUGUGCUGGAUGAUGAAUAUCAAUGAUGAUGUCUCCAUGGCAACACACACCAAGUAACGGCGUCUACUUUGAGGAACACAAGGCUGCUUGAUUACAAUUCUUUAAAACCAACUGCAAAAAUGUCUCACAAAAUAUUUGAUCAGAAGUUUGCAGCAUGUUUCCAAACCUUUGCCCUAAAACUUAGUGGUCUCCAAAUAAAUCUCUAUACAUGUGUAAUAACAAAUUGAGUUUGUAGCUACGUUAUCUUUUUGAAAAUUGGCUUUGACAUGAACAUUCAACUUUUUGGGCGUUUUUCUAAUCCAAGGAGUAUUAUGCCAAGCAGGUCAGAAAAUAGACACUCCCUU